rnacentral:misc_RNA from 1 species
GAUGAAGAACGUAGCGAAAUGCGAUACUUGGUGUGAAUUGCAGAAUCCCGUGAACCAUCGAGUCUUUGAACGCAAGUUGCGCCCGAAGCCAUCAGGUUGAGGGCACGUCUGCCUGGGCGUCACAUAUCGUUGCCCAAUGCCUAUUGCAGUGCAAUAGGAAUUUCUAGGGCGAAUGAUGGCUUCCCGUGAGCGUUGUUGCCUCGCGGUUGGUUGAAAAUCGAGUCCUUGGUAGGGUGUGCCAUGGUAGAUGUGGUCGAGUUAGAACGAUACCGAUCAUGUGCAUGCUCCCCAAAAUAUGGCCUCUAUGACCCACACGCGUCUUUUGACGCUCAUGACGAGACCUCAGGUCAGGCGGGGCUACCCGCUGAAUUUAAGCAUAUCAAUAAGCGGAGGA